UAGAGACGUGAAAUGUAGGGUGGACACGCAUGGUCCGCGGAAGCUUCAGGCGGACUGCAGCAGGAUUGAUGAUCUUGAGAAUCUCAAAUGGGCCAGUGAACUUCUGGGCCAGUUUCUUUGAGUCCAGAGGCGGAGUAUCUAGUCACUGACCGCUGGAGGUUGGCCCUGGCCUGGGCCCAGGUGCGCCGACAUUGGCGGAUGAAGGUCUGUACGGCUGGGCAGGAGACCUCCCUCUCUAGGGCUGGGAACAGGGGUGGUUGGUACCCAUGGGCGCACUGGAAUGGGGAGAGGCCGGUGGACGAGCUGACCAGUGUAUUGUGGGCGUACUCCACCCACAUUAGUUGUUUGGACCAGGUCGACGGGUGGCUGGAGACCAUACACCGGAGAGACGCCUCCAUCUCCUGGUUCUUCCGCUCCGUCUGGCCAUUGGACUGGGGGUGGAACCCUGAGGACAGGCUGGCCGUGGCCCCGAUGAGGGUGCAGAACUCUUUCCAAAAGACAGAGGUGAACUGUGGUCCCCGGUCCGAGACCACGUCCACAGGGAGACCAUGGAGUCUAAACACGUCGCGAAG
ensembl:lncRNA